rnacentral:rRNA from 1 species
UACGGGGGGGGCAAGCGUUGUUCGGAAUUACUGGGCGUAAAGCGUCCGUAGAUGGUUUUGUCAGUCUGCUGUCAAAGCACAGGGCUUAACCCUGUAAAGGCAGUGGAAACUACAAGACUAGAGUGCAGUAGGGGCAGAGGGAAUUCCCAGUGUAGCGGUGAAAUGCGUAGAGAUUGGGAAGAACAUCCGUGGCGAAAGCGCUCUACUGGACCGCAACUGACACUCAGGGACGAAAGCUAGGGGAGCGAAUGGG